rnacentral:rRNA from 1 species
CCUUCGGGUCUAGUGGCGCACGGGUGCGUAACGCGUGGGAAUCUACCCUUUGCUUCGGAAUAACAGUUAGAAAUGACUGCUAAUACCGGAUGAUGUCUUCGGACCAAAGAUUUAUCGGCAAAGGAUGAGCCCGCGUAGGAUUAGGUAGUUGGUGGGGUAAAGGCCUACCAAGCCGACGAUCCUUAGCUGGUCUGAGAGGAUGAUCAGCCACACUGGGACUGAGACACGGCCCAGACUCCUACGGGAGGCAGCAGUGGGGAAUAUUGGACAAUGGGCGCAAGCCUGAUCCAGCAAUGCCGCGUGAGUGAUGAAGGCCUUCGGGUCGUAAAGCUCUUUUACCAGGGAUGAUAAUGACAGUACCUGGAGAAUAAGCUCCGGCUAACUCCGUGCCAGCAGCCGCGGUAAUACGGAGGGAGCUAGCGUUGUUCGGAAUUACUGGGCGUAAAGAGUACGUAGGCGGCUAUUCAAGUCAGAGGUGAAAGCCCGGGGCUCAACCCCGGAACUGCCUUUGAAACUAGGUAGCUAGAAUCUUGGAGAGGUCAGUGGAAUUCCGANGUGUAGAGGUGAAAUUCGUAGAUAUUCGGAAGAACACCAGUGGCGAAGGCGACUGACUGGACA